rnacentral:rRNA from 1 species
GUUUGAUCAUGGCUCAGAUUGAACGCUGGUGGCAUGCUUAACACAUGCAAGUCGAACGGUACAGGACUAGCUUGCUAGUUGCUGACGAGUGGCGGACGGGUGAGUAACGCGUAGGAAUCUACCCAUCUGAGGGGGAUACCAGUUGGAAACGACUGUUAAUACCGCAUAGUAUCUGUGGAUUAAAGGUGGCUUUUGGGCUGUCGCAGAUGGAUGAGCCUGCGCUGGAUUAGCUAGUUGGUGGGGUAAGGGCCUACCAAGGCUACGAUCCAUAGCUGAUUUGAGAGGAUGAUCAGCCACAUUGGGACUGAGACACGGCCCAAACUCCUACGGGAGGCAGCAGUGAGGAAUAUUGGACAAUGGGGGCAACCCUGAUCCAGCAAUGCCAUGUGUGUGAAGAAGGCCUUAGGGUUGUAAAGCACUUUAGUUGGGGAAGAAAGCUUUGAGGUUAAUAGCCUUGAGGAAAAGGACGUUACCCAAAGAAUAAGCACCGGCUAACUCCGUGCCAGCAGCCGCGGUAAUACGGGGGGUGCAAGCGUUAAUCGGAAUUACUGGGCGUAAAGGGUCUGUAGGUGGUUUGUUAAGUCAGAUGUGAAAGCCUAG